rnacentral:rRNA from 1 species
UCUUUUAAUUGGAGGCUUGUAUGAAUGGUUGGACGAGAUAUUAACUGUUUCAAUUAAAAUUUUAAAAUUUUAUUUUUUAGUCAAAAAGCUAAAAUUUAAUUAAAAGACGAGAAGACCCUAUAGAUCUUUAUAAUUUAAAAAUUUAAUUUAUAAAGGAUAAUUUAUAUUAAAUUUUAAUAAUUAUUUUAUUGGGGUGAUAACAAAAUUUGAUAAACUUUUGUAUUUUAUAACAUAAAUAAAUGAUUGAUUGAUCCAUUAAUAGUGAUUAAUAAAUUAAGUUACCUUAGGGAUAACAGCGUAAUUUUUUUAGAGAGUUCUUAUCGAUAAAAAAGAUUGC